CUGCAAACUUAUCUCACUAUAUGUUUGCUUGGAAAUUCAGAGGACCAAAUGUUGAACCAAACCAGGCACCCUGGGGAUUUCAGCCCCACCAGGAGAUUGCCUCGAGACCAUGGUCAACUUAUGACCUAGCUCUGCCCACGAUAGCACCAGCCAGACCACCCAAUGGAUAAGAUAUUGAAAUAAGUCAUGCAGACCCCACCAUCUCCUCCCCAGUCCCCUGCAUGCCUUUCAUGCCAAGUUCCCCUUUAAAGCUCCUGCUUUCUGCUUGUACAGGUGAAGCUGUUCCCUUACGGCAGAAGCCUGUAUCUUCUUCCCCUCAGCCAAGCUCUGGAAUGGUCACCUUCUCUCUGUCUGACCUCACUCUUGUUAACUGGACUCUGCAAGCAGUGAGCAGCAGGCCCUGCAUUCAUUCCAAGCCCCUCGCAAUCCACUGCUCCAGCUGA
rnacentral:lncRNA from 1 species